UCUCGAAUUUGGAAGAGCUAUGGUCUUAUAAAUUUGGUUGUGGCAAAAACUUUUAUCAUAGGACUAUUGUAGUGAAACGUUAAUCGUUUUCUAAGAUAUCUAGUUUCUUAAGAAAUAAAUUUAAUUUAUUUUUUUGUGUACACUUUUUUUAUUAAUUAAUUUAGUGUCUCUAAAAUUAAAUGUUCUGAGGGAUGAGCUUUAGAAUUGAUUUUUAAAAUUAUAAUUUUGUUAUAAUAGAGUUUGUAGGAUUGGAAAUGUUUAUCUGUAGUUUGUUAUAAUUAACUCUAUAUUAAAUAAGAUUUAUAUUUUGUUUAUUUUUUUUAUUAAGAUUAUGUAUCUAAUUAGAUUUUACAUGUAAUAAUGAUAGAAUUAGUAUAUUUAGUGUAUAUUUAUUUUAAGUUAAAAGGUUAAGUUAAGGAACUCGGCAAAUUAAUUCUUCGCCUGUUUAUUAAAAACAUGUCUUUUUGAUUAUAAUUUAAAGUCUGACCUGCCCAAUGAGGAGUUAAAUGGCCGCGGUAAUUUGACCGUGCAAAGGUAGCAUAAUCAUUAGUUUUUUAAUUGGAAGCUGGUAUGAAUGGUCGGACGAGGGGAUUACUGUCUCAAUUUAAUUGAUAUUAGAAUUUUAUUUAUAAGUUAAAAAGCUUAUAUAAUUUUAAAAGACGAGAAGACCCUAUAGAAUUUUAUAGCCGAUUAUUUAUUUUAUGAUUAGUAUUUUAGGUUUAAUAUAUAGUUUUCUAUUUUGUUGGGGCGACAAAAAAAUUCAAUAAACUUUUUUUUUAUUUGUUCAUUGAUGUAUGUAUAAUUGAUCCGUUGAUUACGAUUAAAAGAUAAAAUUACCUUAGGGAUAACAGCGUAAUUUUUUUUAGAGUUCUUAUCAAAAAAAGAGUUUGCGACCUCGAUGUUGGAUUAAAAUUAACUUUUGGUGUAGGUGCUAAAAGGUUAGGUCUGUU
rnacentral:rRNA from 1 species